rnacentral:misc_RNA from 1 species
GAUGAAGAACGCAGCGAAAUGCGAUAAGUAGUGUGAAUUGCAGAAUUCCGUGAAUCAUCAAAUCUUUGAACGCACAUUGCGCCCCCUGGUAUUCCGGGGGGCAUGCCUGUUCGAGCGUCAUUUCACCACUCAAGCCUCGCUUGGUAUUGGGCAACGCGGUCCGCCGCGUGCCUCAAAUCGACCGGCUGGGUCUUCUGUCCCCUAAGCGUUGUGGAAACUAUUCGCUAAAGGGUGUUCGGGAGGCUACGCCGUAAAACAACCCCAUUUCUAAGGUUGACCUCGGAUCAGGUAGGGAUACCCGCUGAACUUAAGCAUAUCAAUAAGCGGAGGA